rnacentral:misc_RNA from 1 species
CUUGGCUGUAUUAUCUCAAAAGCCGCAUAUGCUAUAUGAUUAUUUCAAGCAACGGUUUGCUCAGGUUACAAAUCCAGCUAUUGAUCCCCUCCGAGAAGGAUUAGUCAUGUCCCUUGAAGUCAAUCUUGGCAAGCGUAGAAAUAUACUAGAGGCUGGACCUGAAAAUGCUUCUCAGGUUAUUUUGCCUAGUCCUGUACUUAAUGAAGGAGAGCUUGAAUCUCUUUUGAAAGAUUUACACUUGAGACCUCAUGUUUUGCCGACAUUUUUUGAUGUUGGGAAAGGAGUUGAUGGGUCCUUGAAAAGGUCACUGGAUAAACUAUGUGAAGCAGCUGAUGAGGCUGUCAGAAAUGGUUCUCAACUGCUUGUUCUCUCUGAUAGGUCUGACGAAUUGGAAGCUACUCGCCCUGCAAUUCCAAUACUUCUUGCUGUAGGUGCCGUUCACCAGCAUCUGAUUCAAAAUGGCCUUAGAAUGUCUGCUUCAAUUGUUGCUGAUACUGCCCAAUGCUUCAGUACUCAUCAGUUUGCUUGCUUGAUCGGAUUUGGCGCAAGUGCUGUAUGUCCAUACUUGGCAUUUGAGACAUGUCGACAAUGGCGCUUGAGCACUAAAACUGUGAAUUUGAUGCGAAAUGGGAAAAUGCCUAGUGUUACCAUUGAACAAGCUCAAAAGAACUUUUGCAAGGCAAUUAAAUCUGGGCUUCUCAAAAUUCUUUCAAAAAUGGGGAUCUCAUUGCUCGCCAGUUAUUGUGGUGCACAGAUAUUUGAAAUCUAUGGAUUGGGGAAGGAGGUCAUGGAUAUUGCAUUCUGUGGCAGUAAAUCAAGCAUUGGUGGACUAACCCUUGAUGAGCUGGCAAGAGAGACUUUAUCAUUCUGGGUGAAGGCCUUUUCUGAAGAUACAGCAAAACGACUAGAGAAUUAUGGGUUCUUACAAUUCAGACAAGGAGGUGAAUACCAUGGAAACAACCCAGAGAUGUCA